AUGAAGUGGAUGAUCCUAUGCUGCCGAGAAAAGCCUCUAGUGAGUGUUGUGGCGGCCCGUACCCUAAACCGACUCAGGUGGUCAGGUAGAGAAUACCAAGGCGAUCGGGUGAACUGUGGUUAAGGAACUCGGCAAAUUGCCCCCGUAACUUCGGGAGAAGGGGGACCUCUGUUGGUGAUGGGCUUUACGCCUGGAGCUGGUGGGGGUCGCAGUGGCCAGGGGGAAGCGACUGUUUACUAAAAACACAGGUCCGUGCGAAGUCGUAAGACGAUGUAUACGGACUGACGCCUGCCCGGUGCCGGAACGUUAAGGGGACCGCUUAGCUGACGUGAGUUGGCGAAGGUGAGAACUUAAGCGCCGGUAAACGGCGGUGGUAACUAUAACCAUCCUAAGGUAGCGAAAUUCCUUGUCGGGUAAGUUCCGACCUGCACGAAUGGCGUAACGACUUCCCCGCUGUCUCAACCGCAGACCCGGCGAAAUUGCACUACGAGUAAAGAUGCUCGUUUCGCGCAGCAGGACGGAAAGACCCCGGGACCUUCACUACAGCUUGACAUUGGCGUUUGGAACGUCUUGUGUAGGAUAGGUGGGAGACUGGGAAGCUGUCACGCUAGUGAUGGUGGAGUCAUUGGUGAAAUACCACUCUGGUCGUUUUGAACGUCUAACUCUGGUCCGUGAUCCGGAUCGGGGACAGUGUCUGGUGGGUAGUUUAACUGGGGCGGUUGCCUCCUAAAGAGUAACGGAGGCGCCCAAAGGUUCCCUCAGCCUGGUUGGCAAUCAGGUGUUGAGUGUAAGUGCACAAGGGAGCUUGACUGUGAGACUGACAGGUCGAGCAGGAGCGAAAGCUGGGGCUAGUGAUCCGGCAUCGGCGUGUGGAAGCGGUGUCGCUCAACGGCUAAAAGGUACCCCGGGGAUAACAGGCUGAUCUUCCCCAAGAGUCCAUAUCGACGGGAUGGUUUGGCACCACGAUGUCGGCUCGUCGCAUCCUGGGGCUGGAGUAGGUCCCAAGGGUUGGGCUGUUCGCCCAUUAAAGCGGUACGCGAGCUGGGUUUAGAACGUCGCGAGACAGUUCGGUCCCUAUCCGCUGCGCGCGCAGGAGACUUGAAGGGGGCUGUCCCUAUUACAAGAGGACCGGGACGGACGAACCUCUGGUGUGCCAGUUGUACCGCCAGGUGCACGGCUGGUUGGCUACGUUCGGAAGGGAUAACCGCUGAAAGCAUCUAAGCGGGAAGCUCGCCUUGAGAUGAGGUCUCCCACCACGAGAGUGGGUAAGGCUCCCGGUAGACGACCGGGUUGAUAGGCCGGAGGUGGAAGCACGGUAACGUGUGGAGCUGACCGGUACUAAUAGGCCGAGGACUUGACC
rnacentral:rRNA from 1 species